GUUGGCCUCGCUUCCAUGGGGUUUGACGGGCAUCUCCAUUUUUCAUUUUACAUUUGGUUGGCCUCAUGGUGGCUGGGCCUGCGUGUUUGUUUGCUUCCUCUUUGACGUACCUGUGCACGGCGGACGGUGUUAUGGCACCCAGUGCUACGCACUUGCUUCAUUGAGGUGGCUUCCGGACCUUGGUGGCCUUGUUUCCAUGGGAUUGAACCUUGAUACGGUUUCCUUCUUGAUGUUUUGAUCUUCGUGGGGGUCGAUCCUCGUGCAUGGCAUCCUUGAGGCGUGAUUGUGGCGUGGUGUUUGGUGCUUCUUAGCACUAGAUUCCUACGCAUGCUCUCGGCCGACGAUGGGUUGUUUGCUGGUUUGGAUUGGCUCCAUCGGGGUUGAGACCUCAACAAUUGUCCCGAUUGUUAUUAUUUUCUCUUCUCUUAUUUCCCAUGCCUAGCGGGGCAGGCUCGGCACCACACAAUGCUUCCACACGCUCAGCUAGCCUUGUGCUUGGUUGGGGUGUGGUUCAAUUUGUUUGAUGUUGUGGUCUGGCGUACGUAACGGCGUGUGAGUGGUGACAAGGUUGUAUGUCUUGACAGGCUCUGUGCUUGUGCAUCGAACUGUUAGGCGUGCUCCUCCUCAUUUUUGCUCCUCGUGUGAAUAGCAUGUUGGGCUACUGAAGGGUUCCUGUGUUGCAUACCUACAAAGAUGGAAUUUGUUCCUCUCGUUGCCCCUUGUCCUUGCCGGUGCUCCUUUUUGGGUGCUGGCUGGACUCUGAAGUUGUCCACGUGUUACCAUGCAAGCCUUCGAGUUUACGUUGGUUGUCAUGGACCAUGUGGGCGUUCUCGUGCUCUUGGAUGCGGAACAUUGUGUUGGUGUGGGGGGNCUUCGGNCUCUUUAUCCCAAACCAAGCGUUCUCGNUUGACACGAACGAUUGUCGNGGUCGCGNCUUGAUCCUAUCCUCCUUCUGGAGNGGUAGGUUUACGNNNNNNGCCGGNNUCGAGAAUGAAUGCUACCUGGUUGAUCCUGNCAGUAGUCAUAUGCUU
rnacentral:misc_RNA from 1 species